AUCAUUACAAGUGACCCCGGCUACGGCCGGGAUGUUCAUAACCCUUUGUUGUCCGACUCUGUUGCCUCCGGGGCGACCCUGCCUUCGGGCGGGGGCUCCGGGUGGACACUUCAAACUCUUGCGUAACUUUGCAGUCUGAGUAAACUUAAUUAAUAAAUUAAAACUUUUAACAACGGAUCUCUUGGUUCUGGCAUCGAUGAAGAACGCAGCGAAAUGCGAUAAGUAAUGUGAAUUGCAGAAUUCAGUGAAUCAUCGAAUCUUUGAACGCACAUUGCGCCCCCUGGUAUUCCGGGGGGCAUGCCUGUUCGAGCGUCAUUUCACCACUCAAGCCUCGCUUGGUAUUGGGCAACGCGGUCCGCCGCGUGCCUCAAAUCGUCCGGCUGGGUCUUCUGUCCCCUAAGCGUUGUGGAAACUAUUCGCUAAAGGGUGUUCGGGAGGCUACGCCGUAAAACAACCCCAUUUCUAAGGUUGACCUCGGAUCAGGUAGGGAUACCCGCUGAACUUAAGCAUAUCAAUAA
rnacentral:misc_RNA from 1 species